ACGGUCACCUCACGUUGAAACACCAGUUCCCGUACGAUCACGGGAGUUAAGCAACGUCGAGCCUGGCCAGUUCCUCUGUGGGUGGCCGCUUGGAGAUACCAGGUGCUAUA